UCUCCGUAGGUGAACCUGCGGAGGGAUCAUUACUGAGUGAGGUUCUCCGGGCCCGACCUCCAACCUUUUUGUGAACCACCUCGUUGCUUCGGGGGCGACCCUGCCGGCACUACGUCGCCGGGCGCCCCCGGAGCCCAUCAAACCCUGCGUAACUAAGUCGUCGGAGUUUAAACAAAUUAAACAAAACUUUCAACAACGGAUCUCUUGGUUCGGGCAUCGAUGAAGAACGCAGC
rnacentral:misc_RNA from 1 species